rnacentral:rRNA from 1 species
UUUAUGGAGAGUUUGAUCCUGGCUCAGGAUGAACGCUGGCGGCGUGCCUAAUACAUGCAAGUCGAGCGAACGGACGAGAAGCUUGCUUCUCUGAUGUUAGCGGCGGACGGGUGAGUAACACGUGGAUAACCUACCUAUAAGACUGGGAUAACUUCGGGAAACCGGAGCUAAUACCGGAUAAUAUUUUAAACCGCAUGGUUCAAAAGUGAAAGACGGUCUUGCUGUCACUUAUAGAUGGAUCCGCGCUGCAUUAGCUAGUUGGUAAGGUAACGGCUUACCAAGGCAACGAUGCAUAGCCGACCUGAGAGGGUGAUCGGCCACACUGGAACUGAGACACGGUCCAGACUCCUACGGGAGGCAGCAGUAGGGAAUCUUCCGCAAUGGGCGAAAGCCUGACGGAGCAACGCCGCGUGAGUGAUGAAGGUCUUCGGAUCGUAAAACUCUGUUAUUAGGGAAGAACAUAUGUGUAAGUAACUGUGCACAUCUUGACGGUACCUAAUCAGAAAGCCACGGCUAACUACGUGCCAGCAGCCGCGGUAAUACGUAGGUGGCAAGCGUUAUCCGGAAUUAUUGGGCGUAAAGCGCGCGUA